rnacentral:rRNA from 1 species
GAACGCUGGCGGCGCGUCUUAAGCAUGCAAGUCGGACGGCAAGAAGAGAGCUUGCUCUCUUCCUAAGGAGUGGCGGACUGGUCGAGUAACACGUGGGUGACGUACCCUUUAGCUGGGGAUAGCCGGUAGAAAUACCGGGUAAUACCGAAUAAUCUUGCUUCUUUGAAGUGAAGUAAGGAAAGGAGCUUUGGCUUCACUGAAGGAACGGCCCGCGCACUAUUAGCUAGUUGGUGAGGUAACGGCCACCAAGGCAACGAUAGUUAUCCGGCCUAAGAGGGGUGAACGGACACAUUGGGACUGAGAUACGGCCCAGACUCCUACGGGAGGCAGCAGCUAAGAAUAUUCCGCAAUGGAGGAAACUCUGACGGAGCGACGCCGCGUGGAUGAUGAAGGUCGGAAGAUUGUAAAAAUCCUUUUUAAGUAUGAUGAAUAACCUGAUCAGGAAAUGGGACAGGGAUGACCGUAAUACUUGAAUAAGCAACGGCUAAUUACGUG